rnacentral:rRNA from 1 species
GUGUCAGCCGCCGCGGUAAUACGUAGGGACCAAGCGUUGUUCGGAUUUACUGGGCGUAAAGGGCGCGUAGGCGGCAAUUCAAGUCAGCUGUGAAAUCUCUGGGCUUAACCCAGAACGGCCAGCUGAUACUGCUUUGCUAGAGUGCAGAAGGGGCAAUCGGAAUUCUUGGUGUAGCGGUGAAAUGCGUAGAUAUCAAGAGGAACACCUGAGGUGAAGACGGGUUGCUGGGCUGACACUGACGCUGAGGCGCGAAAGCCAGGGGAGCAAACGGGAUUAGAAACCCGGGUAGUCC